AGUGAACGCUGGCGGCGUGCCUAAUAUAUGCAAGUCGAACGGAGGGGCGCACGGGCGAGUAAUGUAUCGCUAAUCUUCCCUACACUAGAGGCCAACAGUCGGAAACGGCUGCUAAUACUCUAUAGUGUAGGAUGAGGCGAUAUUGUAUCAGCUAGUUGGUGAGGUAAUGGCUCACCAAGGCUAUGACGCAUAACUGGUCUGCGAGGAUGAUCAGUAAAACGGGAACAGAGACACGGUCCAGACUCCGGCGGGAGGGAGCAGUAGGGAAUAUUGCUCAAUGGGGGAAACGCUGAAGCAGCAGCGCCGCGUGGAGGAUGACACUUUUCGGAGCGUAAACUCCUUUUGUUAGGGAAGCGGUACCUAACGAAUAAGCACCGGCUACCUCCGUGCCAGCCGCCGCGGUAAUAC
rnacentral:rRNA from 1 species